rnacentral:rRNA from 1 species
UACGAAGGGUGCAAGCGUUACUCGGAAUUACUGGGCGUAAAGCGUGCGUAGGUGGUUUGUUAAGUCUGUUGUGAAAGCCCCGGGCUCAACCUGGGAAUGGCAAUGGAUACUGGCAAGCUAGAGUGCGGUAGAGGGUAGUGGAAUUCCCGGUGUAGCGGUGAAAUGCGUAGAUAUCUGGAGGAACACCGGUGGCGAAGGCGGCAUCCUGGACCGGCACUGACGCUGAGGAGCGAAAGCCAGGGGAGCAAACGGG